AUCGCUUCUCGGCCUUUUGGCCUAGAUCAAGUGUAGGAUUCAAAACAAUGCAAAUUGUCUAUUUUUAAACUAUAGGGUGCUGGACCCAAGUCAGUUCUCAGCCUUUAAUCGUCCAGCAUUAUCAAUUCACUUGGAUUCACUUUUUUAUUUGGCCUACAGGACACUACAUUAAAAAAUCCAACA